GACGAACGCUGGCGGCGUGCUUAACACAUGCAAGUCGAACGGAAAGGCCCUGCUUGCCGGGUACUCGAGUGGCGAACGGGUGAGUAACACGUGGGUGAUCUGCCCUGCACUUCGGGAUAAGCUUGGGAAACUGGGUCUAAUACCGGAUAGGAGCCAUCUUUAGUGUGGUGGUUGGAAAGUUUUUUCGGUGUAGGAUGAGCUCGCGGCCUAUCAGCUUGUUGGUGGGGUAAUGGCCUACCAAGGCGGCGACGGGUAGCCGGCCUGAGAGGGUGUACGGCCACAUUGGGACUGGGAUGCGGGCCAGACUCCUACGGGAGGCAGCAGUGGGGAAUAUUGCACAAUGGGCGCAAGCCUGAUGCAGCGACGCCGCGUGGGGGAUGAAGGCCUUCGGGUUGUAAACUCCUUUCGCUAGGGACGAAGCUUUUUUGUGACGGUACCUAGAUAAGAAGCACCGGCUAACUACGUG
rnacentral:rRNA from 1 species